ACCAUCAUCCACGUGAACAACUCUAAUCCAAUGACAUUCGGACACGUGGCCAAAAUCUACUAGUCAGGAUCAUAUCGUCCGAUAUAGAAUUAUCUUCCUGAAAUGACAUCCGACAAAGAUGUCUGAUAUCGAAUUAUCCUAUCGACAUGACAGCUUAAUAAUAAUUUUGCAGCCAUCAAAAUGACAAAACAGUCGGAAAAUUCUCAACUAGCAAUCA
rnacentral:lncRNA from 1 species